UCUCUUCAGUCUGUGGUUUGACACAAAUUCAUCUUCCAUUUCUGAACACGUCUCCUUUUUCAGAGCCUGUGAGAUGAUCUUGCAGGGCAGUUUCUCUUGCUAAACACAUGAACCCAGAUUUUCUAAAAGAGUCCACUAAAGGAUCAAGAAACUAGAGGAACGGCCCUCUCAACUUUGGAUAUAUCCCCAGAUAAAACCUUCUGCUGCUUCUCCACAAGCCAUGCUGUCUACUUCCUACUCAGGACUUGUUAUUCUGCUGAUACUGAGAGAGACCAGUGGAGACACGGUGACCCAGACAGAAGGUUCUGUUACCCUCCCUGAGGGGACACCAUUGACCCUGAACUGCACCUACCAGAGCAGCUACUCAGUUUUUGCUUUCUGGUAUGUCCAAUAUCAAAACAAAGAGCCCGAGCUCCUCCUGAAGAGCUCAUCAGAAAACCAGAGGGUACAGAAUCACGGUUUUCAGGCCAGUCUUAAGAGUGACAAGUCCUUCCACCUGGAGAAACACUCCGUGCAAAUGUCAGACUCGGCCGUGUACUACUGCGCCAUGGGAAGCACAGUGAGAGCAGCAGCAGGGGGAGCUGAGCGCAAACCCAGAGGGGCACAGGAGGGGCCUGGAUGUGGGCAGGCUGGAGGGCAGAAAGAUGAUUUCUCUGGAGUCAGUGUGCUGGGCUGGACACAGCUAGAGGGGAAGGAACGAAUUCCAGCUCGGAUACCUCCGCACUCAGGAAUCCUGGCGUUACUCUGAGCUAGGAAUGGAAAGAGGUGAUCUAGGUGAAAACGUAGGUUAUAGAUAUGCUUGUAAAUAGAAUCCUAUAGUACAUGGCCUUUUGUGUCCAGCUUCUUCACAUAGCAUCAUCUUCUCAAGGUGUAUCUAUGGGUCAGGACUUUAUUACUUUUAUGGCUGCACAGUAAUCCGUAUGGACACCUCAUAUUUUCUUUUUCCAUUCAUUCUUUGAUGGGCAUUUUGGUUGUUUUCA